CGGCAGCCCGAGUGGUGAUCACUAUUAUUGGGUCUAAAGGGUCCGUAGCCGGUUUGAUCAGUCUUUUGGGAAAUCUGACAGCUUAACUGUUAGGCUUCCAAAGGAUACUGUUAGACUUGGGACCGGGAGAGGUAAGAGGUACUACAGGGGUAGGAGUGAAAUCUUGUAAUCCCUGUGGGACCACCAGUGGCGAAGGCGUCUUACCAGAACGGGUCCGACGGUGAGGGACGAAAGCUGGGGGCACGAACCGGAUUAGAUACCCGAGUAGUCC
rnacentral:rRNA from 1 species